CAGCAGCCACGGGAAUACGAAGGGGGCUAGCGUUGCUCGGAAUGACUGGGCGUAAAGGGCGCGUAGGCGGAAUGCAUUGUCGGGCGUGAAAUUCCAGGGCUUAACCUUGGGGCUGCGUUCGAGACGGGUAUUCUAGAGUGGAGAAGAGGGUCGUGGAAUUCCCAGUGUAGAGGUGAAAUUCGUAGAUAUUGGGAAGAACACCGGUGGCGAAGGCGGCGACCUGGUCUUUUACUGACGCUGAGGCGCGAAAGCGCGGGGAGCAAACAGGAUUAGAUACCCCAGUAGUCCCUGUCUCUUAUAC
rnacentral:rRNA from 1 species